rnacentral:rRNA from 1 species
CUUUACCUAGCGGCGGACGGGUGAGUAAUGCUUAGGAAUCUGCCUAUUAGUGGGGGACAACAUUCCGAAAGGGAUGCUAAUACCGCAUACGUCCUACGGGAGAAAGCAGGGGACCUUCGGGCCUUGCGCUAUCAGAUGAGCCUAGGUCGGAUUAGCUAGUUGGUGAGGUAAUGGCUCACCAAGGCGACGAUCCGUAACUGGUCUGAGAGGAUGAUCAGUCACACUGGAACUGAGACACGGUCCAGACUCCUACGGGAGGCAGCAGUGGGGAAUAUUGGACAAUGGGCGAAAGCCUGAUCCAGCCAUGCCGCGUGUGUGAAGAAGGUCUUCGGAUUGUAAAGCACUUUAAGUUGGGAGGAAGGGUUGUAGAUUAAUACUCUGCAAUUUUGACGUUACCGACAGAAUAAGCACCGGCUAACUCUGUGCCAGCAGCCGCGGUAAUACAGAGGGUGCGAGCGUUAAUCGGAUUUACUGGGCGUAAAGCGUGCGUAGGCGGCUGAUUAAGUCGGAUGUGAAAUCCCUGAGCUUAACUUAGGA